rnacentral:lncRNA from 1 species
GCAAAACUGCCCAAUCGGAGAAGAAGGAGGAGAGGCGAAUCAGAAGAAGAGAGAGGGAGAAGCUGACCAACCAAAGGAAGGAAAGGAGGGAAAGGAGGGAGAGUGGUGAACGGGGGAACAUAAGGAACGGGUCGUUCUUGACCCGUGCGGCCUGCGCGACCCAUGCCUUCUAAUCGGCGGGUUCUCGCCGUUUUCGUCCAAUUUUUCGACGAAUUGAAUCAAGGUACCACUCCCAAUCACCAUCUAGGCCUUCCCUCUUCACGUUUCACCCCAAGAAUCAUUGAAUUUCAUGGUGAUUUCGCGAAGAACACCCCUACGGGUGCCGCGACUUUCUUGCCUAAAUUCUUUAAAUUUUGAAAUGUUUUCUUUCAAUUACUAACACCAUUAGCAUUCCUUUAGGACCUAGAAUAAAGCCCAAGAGGUAGUAGAGGCGUUGGAACAAGUUUGAAGGUCGAAUUGGAAACACCCAAUUCUAGGGUUCUUCACGGUUUUGGUGAAAUUGAAGCACUUCCAAGCCAACUUGGCCUUAGCCGCAGGUAUGAAAGUUGUUCUAAUCAUUGAGAUCUUCAAAUCUGCAAAUUUUGGUAAUUUUUGGAAAUAGUUGAAUUUUCCGGCGAGCCGGGGCGGCCAACCGCCACCCGCGGCGGACCACGCGGCGGCGCGUGGCCAAUGGCCCGCCAAGGUCAUUAUUAUCAUGUGUUGAGGUUCUAGGUUCAGUUUUGAUAAUUGUUGGACGUAAAUUGAAUAAUUGAACCUAAGUUGGUUACGAUUUGUGGUUAGGUGAAAAUGUGAAUUGACGAUCCGACCGUUGGAUCAUCACCAAACUUUGAUACGUUGUAAUACGUAAUAUUUGAGGAUUAUAGGAACUUACGGAUUGGGAAUCCGAUUUACGGAUCUUCCGGAAUUGGAGUUGUAAGUUCAUAAAAUAGAAUGUUAGCCGUCACUUAGUUUUGGAAAUUGACGGAGAUCUGACCGUUGGAUGGUAAUGAAAUUUUAGGAUGUUAUCCUAGAGGUAUAUUGUGGACCUCUGGAAGUUACGGAUUUGAAAUCUGAGUUGCAGAUCAUCCGGAUCGAACUACGUAGUGACGUGUCUUAUAUAAGUUAUGUAUUCUAUCGAUAUGAAUUCUGAGGUUGGAUUUGAUUAUUGUUCUAG